GGAGAGGUGGCAGAGUGGUCGAAUGCACCGGUUUCGAAAACCGGCAUACCGCAAGGUAUCGGGAGUUCGAAUCUCCCCCUCUCCG
rnacentral:tRNA from 3 species